UUUCGUUGCUCCUUGGAUGCUGCCUGAACUGCUGUGCUCUUCCAGCACCACUAAUCCAGAAUCUGGUUUCCAGCAUCUGCAGUCAUUGUUUUUACCCCGGAACAAACAUCAGGUUGCUAUGUAAAAGAACGGACAUUACGUCAGAAACGAUGUUAACUUCAGAACUGUGAUCUGCAAAGUGAGCAGUAAAUCAGUAGCUGAGUGAGGGGACACGACUGUAAUCCCACAGUCUCCUUCCUUGGAUUGUUAUGGGCCGAAGCGACAGCGCAAGCGGAAACUCAAAUUCAAAUCCCUGGAGCCAGGAAAGAGAAUGUUUUAAUGAGCUUCAUUAAUAUUUGUGUAAAUGGCAAAGGAAAGAAAUGCCAACAACACUCGAAGGGAUACAGAAGUACAGAAGCAGCCUCGCAAUGGAACUCUUGUGGCUGCAACAGGCCAUUGCUAGUCGUAAAAAUGGUCAUGGAGAAUUACAGCAUGGAAACAGUCUCUUCAGUCCAAGUGGGCCAUGCCGACCAGAUAUCCUAAAUUAAUCCAGUCCCAUCGGCCAACAUUUGGCUGAUAUUCCUGGAAAACUUUCCUGUUAAUAUACCAAUCCAGAUGCCUUUUAAACAUAGUACAAUUACAAUCCUACGCCACUUCCUCUAGCAGCUCAUUCCAUACACGCACCAUGUAAUCUCAUGAGUACGGCGAAAGGAUCACAAGUCAGUACUUACAACCUCAUCUUAGGUACAAGGUACCUGGGUACAACUUCUUCAGUACAAGUUCUUAGGACAAAAACUAUAGAAAAAUAAAGAAAUAAAAAGCCCAGCGGUAUGGAUCAUAGGAAUAAAUUAGAAAAUAGAGAAAUAAAAGAUUCCGAACAACAGUCCUUCCAAUCCAGUCCAUGCUGACACCUAGCCUCCAGAUUACACUGGCCUUGACUCCAGUCCAUGCCAGGCCUUGACCCCAGACAACACUGGGCCUUGACUCCAGACCACACCAGGCUUCUCCUCAAAGGCUGUUGAAGUUGGGAGACUACUCUGGAAUCACAAGAGACCAGACGCCAACGCUGAGGCCAAGCCGGGUGAAAGACCACCCCACUGGGCUGAGAGGACAACUCGCCAAGUACACGCUGAGGUUGGGAGUCCGAGGCCAAGUAGAAAGAAAGAAGAGACAGAUGGGGAAAGAAAAAAUACAAAAGAGAAAAAACAAGGAAAUUAAAUAGAUGGAGCGAACAAGCACAAAUUGAAGAGAUAUUCUCCACCAACAUUUUACGCUGCAAGGUGCGAGAUUUGUCUUGACCACAUUUCCUAUUGAAGUACCAUAUGGGCUUUUAAACGCUGUCUGGAUCUUUACCUCAUUGUCUUACUGUUCUAACCUUGCUAUCUAUUCAACAGUAUUUAUACCAUAAUAUCCAGAAUGAACAAAGUUUAUUUUGGUUUGUUCAAGAUGUGGAAUCUUGCAGCUUUAAAGCAUUAAAUAUCUGAGGUCUCACACUUGUCCACUGUCUUUUAUAAAAAAAGUGGUAAAAUGCCUGGGUCAGAUUGAAACAUAACAUUGCUGAUCUGGUCCCAGUACCUACACACCUUCACAUUUCUGAUGCCAGUUCCCUCAGAGCAGGAAGAGGAAAAAAAUCAAUGCAAAGUUCCCACCAGGAGGCAACAAUCCACAUUCCACAUUCCAAUCUUUCAGGUAGGAGUCCAAAAUGCAGCUUCAAAUUAAUUUCCAGAAAUACAUGUAGAGGAUACAGGUUCAAGCUAGUUAGGGAAAGCUCAUCUUCAUUAGGAAUGAUCUACACAUGAAAUAAAAUACGGCAAACAAAAAACAACUUUGGAAACAGGAUGGAAUGACAUGAGUGUUUCAGAAACAACGUUUAACAAAUUCAAGUAUGCGAGUCAGUGGUACAUGGAAAUGUUUAUGGAUACUCACAAGGGCAAUAAAGAGAAGUGAUAAACAUGUACAUAUUCACUGGGUGUUAAUUAGCUCAGUUGGCUGGAGGGCUGGUUGUAAUACAGAGUGAUUGUAACAGCAUUAGUUUAAUCCUGUACUGGUGAGUUCACUUUCCAGUUCCUGCCUCCUCAACCAAGGCAUGGUAACCUCAGGUUAAACUCUCCACCAAUCAUCUCUCUCUAAUGAGAGGGUAGUCCUCUGAGACUAUGGUGAUUUUACAUUAUAUACUCAUGUUAAAGCCCACUUGAGACCCAUAUACUGUAAACAGCACUGGAGACUGCAGUGCAGGUACUCCACUUUCAUUAUAGUCACCUGUGGGCUACUGUGUUAUGAGCUCUCUUUAUAAAGAGACUCACCAGCUUGCUAUAUUAAUUAAUACCAGGUUCCCGUUCAUUCAUUCAUAACCCUUGACUAACCUGUUAUGUAUAAUAACAUGGUUUCUUUCAUUACUUCAUAAAACUAUAGUUCUGUAGUGUCCAGGUUUCAAAGCAGCCCUUUCAAACCCAUCACUGCAUUCCCACACCUUCUCAGCCCCUGUUACAAGCAGUGUUUACCUCAGCAUACAGAACAAUACCAUCCCCAUCAAGUCUCCACUAAACACUACCUGUUAAAUACCUUUGAAUUGGGCCAUUAUCCCUUUAAAAAACUAACUGACAAAACAGCGUUUGCAUGAAGUUGCAUGAAUGAACCUCAUAUCGGCAAAUUUUACUGCUCCUCGGACACUGCCUGAACUGCUGUGCUUUCCAGCACCACUAAUCCAGAAUCUGGUUUCAAGCAACUGCAGUCAUUGUUUUCACCGAGUAAAUAAAUCUCAUCACACAGCUGCAGUUAUCAGUUUCAUAUCCUUUAUUCUUUUAUUACAAUUUCUAACUUAGAGCAUAUAGACAGUAUUUUUAUUAAUAUUUACUAACUCAAAAGACAAUGAACUAACCCCUCCAAUUAUUCAAGCAGACCAGAUGGACAUCCCAUUAGGAGUAGCAGCCAGCAGCACAUUUUUAACCCAUCUCCUGUCUCCAAGGACAGAAGCCCUCCAAAUCCUUCGGUACUACAGACAAAAACUGUAACACGACAGUAAUGAUAUGUAAGAACUGUGUAUAAUGAGGCUUUUGUAAGAUCUGUAUUUCAGGAUUCUAUGACUGUCUCAGACUUGUGGUGUGAUUGCUGAAUAAAGAGGCGAUUUUCACCACUCACCGAUUUGGGACGUUAUUUGAACACAAUCCCACACUACAAACAGUGACACAGGUUGGUGAAUAGUGUAGCUGAAGUUGAUUGAGAGUCUUUGAAUUUUCCAGUCAACUGCUACCUUUUCCAUCAUGAUUCUGGGGCUGUAGGGUAUGGUUGAUUUUGUUCACUUAUUAGCUCCUCUUUAGCUCGUUUUAUUUGUGUUCAUGAAUUCACCAGUAUACUUUUCCUUUUAUUCCUUAAAUAGGCAACUUUACAGUCAGUUUAGCAAUUUUCAAUGCUGUGGACCCUUAUGUCAAGUGACCAUUCAAAAUGAAACUCCAGAUAAUAUGCUUCAUGUCAGUGUUUCCUUGAAAUUAUUUUAUUCCUUAUUACCUGCAAAUUCUCUGGCAGUCAAACACCCUCUAUCACUAUUGUACUGAAACCAAGAAUUGUUUGACCACUUUCCAACGAUAAAUGCAUUUGAUUUUUAACUUUUUCUUACCUGGAGAAGAUGCAAACUGCAUCCCUGAUAUAAACCAAUCCGCAGAGUCGCAACAGGACAGAGAGCAGUGAACAGGUCCCUUCCUGUCCUUCUGGUCUGGAAAUCCACAAGGUAACAGUAAUUCGCACUAUUUUCAUCUUUCCCCAUGUGCAAAUUCCAUCAAACAGAAGCAGUAUUAAAAGUAUUUGGUGUGCAACAAUAUAUAUUGAACUGAUCUCAAAUAACCCUGCGAGUCUUUCACCCUGUUUUAUUUCCAUAUUCACAACAAGGAAGUCAGACUGAACGGGAGCUCGGACACAUGGUGAAAGCUGUUGCAUUUUAGUCACAAUUCUCACACUCCACUUUUCAACAAACUGAGAUCUUUCGAGUAUUUUUCAUCAUCUCAGCUGCUUACAGGAGUGUUAACAGCCACUCACUCCUACCUGACAGAAAUGUAUUUGCUUGUGGAAACAAGUGCUGUCCCUCCAUACGCAGUUGCUCAAAGGCUGGCAGCUCGUGUAAUGUCAUUGUGCUGGUGAAAUGGAUUUCUUGCUAAUCAAAAUUCCUAUAAUUACAAAUCCAGCUACCAUGAGAAGGACAGUAAAUAAAAUCCAUUGGUGUCUUUUUUCAAUUCAGAUUGUCAGUAUCUGUUGAAAACAUAUUUAUAUCGUAGUUCAGUGAAGUUUGGAUUUUUUUUGCCAACACAUUUCAAAUCAACAAUUGGACUUCAGAAUGCUCAUUGUGUGAUGCACCAAAUGUGGCAAUGAACACAGUGCAAUCAACGAGAACUUUAAAAAUGUGGAAAAGCAUCAAAUGUAACUUGUGGGAUAUUUAUUUGCAUGUCAAGUGCAAAACAUUUAGGUGAGAGUUUUGCUCUAUUGCUCUGGAGUGGAGUUAUAAAUGGAGGUAAUCAACUGCUGUUCCAGAUAUGUUCCUCUGGCAUUCUCCUGGACAUGGUGCCAGAGCAAUGAUGCUCUUAGGUUUUCUACAAAAUCUCAUUUACAAGAGGUGAAUUACUCUUGACAAGGUCAGCAUUUAUUAUUCACACUCAUCUGCCCUUGAGAAAGUGACACUGCGCCACCGUUUCAAACUGACUGAUAAACGGACACGAUUGUGACCCAAUCUCAUUGAAGGAAUGAUGAUAGACUUUCAGGACAGGAUGGGGAGUGGCUUGGAGAGGGACUUGCAGUUUAUGAGGUUCCAUCAGUUUUCUCCACUUGACCAGCUAGAUGGCAGAGGUCAUGAGUUUGGAAGGUGCUGUUGAAGGAGCCUUACAGAGAUUUAGAGAGUUGCUAACCGAGCUAAACCAACAGCUGGUGUGUGAUUCAAAGUAAUGCCAUCGGCAGGGAUUCAAUCACCAUGCCAGAU